ACGGGGGCCCGCACAAAGCGGUGGUGCAUGNGGUUUAAAUUCGACGCAACGCGAGGAACCUUACCUAGGCUUGACAUGUGGUGAGUAGCGAACCGAAAGGGGAGCGACCCGUCAAAAUCGGGGCCAUCACACAGGUGCUGCAUGGCUGUCGUCAGCUCGUGCCGUGAGGUCGUUGGGUUCAGUCCCGCAACGAGCGCAACCCUCGCCCUUUGUUGCCAUCGGGUAAAGCCGGGCACUCUAAGGGGACUGCCAGCGACAAGUUGGAGGAAGGAGAGGAU
rnacentral:rRNA from 1 species